AUCCUUUUGUAAUUCAUAAGCAUGAUUUGGGUGUUUAUACUUAGAUUUGAGAUAUGCCUUCCUCUAAACUUAGGAUGUUGGCACACUACCCAUCUGAUA
ensembl:snoRNA